rnacentral:rRNA from 1 species
GAUGAACGCUGGCGGCGUGCCUAAUACAUGCAAGUCGAGCGAACGGACGAGAAGCUUGCUUCUCUGAUGUUAGCGGCGGACGGGUGAGUAACACGUGGAUAACCUACCUAUAAGACUGGGAUAACUUCGGGAAACCGUAGCUAAUACCGGAUAAUAUUUUGAACCGCAUGGUUCAAAAGUGAAUGACGGUCUUGCUGUCACUUAUAGAUGGAUCCGCGCUGCAUUAGCUAGUUGGUAAGGUAACGGCUUACCAAGGCAACGAUGCAUAGCCGACCUGAGAGGGUGAUCGGCCACACUGGAACUGAGACACGGUCCAGACUCCUACGGGAGGCAGCAGUAGGGAAUCUUCCGCAAUGGGCGAAAGCCUGACGGAGCAACGCCGCGUGAGUGAUGAAGGUCUUCGGAUCGUAAAACUCUGUUAUUAGGGAAGAACAUAUGUGUAAGUAACUGUGCACAUCUUGACGGUACCUAAUCAGAAAGCCACGGCUAACUACGUGCCAGCAGCCGCGGUAAUACGUAGGUGGCAAGCGUUAUCCGGAAUUAUUGGGCGUAAAGCGCGCGUAGGCGGUUUUUUAAGUCUGAUGUGAAAGCCCACGGCUCAACCGUGGAGGGUCAUUGGAAACUGGAAAACUUGAGUGCAGAAGAGGAAAGUGGAAUUCCAUGUGUAGCGGUGAAAUGCGCAGAGAUAUGGAGGAACACCAGUGGCGAAGGCGACUUUCUGGUCUGUAACUGACGCUGAUGUGCGAAAGCGUGGGGAUCAAACAGGAUUAGAUACCCUGGUAGUCCACGCCGUAAACGAUGAGUGCUAAGUGUUAGGGGGUUUCCGCCCCUUAGUGCUGCAGCUAACGCAUUAAGCACUCCGCCUGGGGAGUACGACCGCAAGGUUGAAACUCAAAGGAAUUGACGGGGACCCGCACAAGCGGUGGAGCAUGUGGUUUAAUUCGAAGCAACGCGAAGAACCUUACCAAAUCUUGACAUCCUUUGACAACUCUAGAGAUAGAGCCUUCCCCUUCGGGGGACAAAGUGACAGGUGGUGCAUGGUUGUCGUCAGCUCGUGUCGUGAGAUGUUGGGUUAAGUCUCGCAACGAGCGCAACCCUUAAGCUUAGUUGCCAUCAUUAAGUUGGGCACUCUAAGUUGACUGCCGGUGACAAACCGGAGGAAGGUGGGGAUGACGUCAAAUCAUCAUGCCCCUUAUGAUUUGGGCUACACACGUGCUACAAUGGACAAUACAAAGGGCAGCGAAACCGCGAGGUCAAGCAAAUCCCAUAAAGUUGUUCUCAGUUCGGAUUGUAGUCUGCAACUCGACUACAUGAAGCUGGAAUCGCUAGUAAUCGUAGAUCAGCAUGCUACGGUGAAUACGUUCCCGGGUCU